GGGUUGUGAGGUUAAGCGACUAAGCGUACACGGUGGAUGCCCUGGCAGUCAGAGGCGAUGAAGGGCGUGCUAAUCUGCGAUAAGCGCCGGUAAGGUGAUAUGAACCGUUAUAACCGGCGAUACCCGAAUGGGGAAACCCAGUGUGAUUCGUCACACUAUCAUUAACUGAAUCCAUAGGUUAAUGAGGCGAACCGGGGGAACUGAAACAUCUAAGUACCCCGAGGAAAAGAAAUCAACCGAGAUUCCCCCAGUAGCGGCGAGCGAACGGGGAGGAGCCCAGAGCCUGAAUCAGCAUGUGUGUUAGUGGAAGCGUCUGGAAAGGCGCGCGAUACAGGGUGACAGCCCCGUACACAAAAGCGCAUGUGCUGUGAGCUCGAUGAGUAGGGCGGGACACGUGGUAUCCUGUCUGAAUAUGGGGGGACCAUCCUCCAAGGCUAAAUACUCCUGACUGACCGAUAGUGAACCAGUACCGUGAGGGAAAGGCGAAAAGAACCCCGGCGAGGGGAGUGAAAAAGAACCUGAAACCGUGUACGUACAAGCAGUGGGAGCAGUGUGACUGCGUACCUUUUGUAUAAUGGGUCAGCGACUUAUAUUCUGUAGCAAGGUUAACCGAAUAGGGGAGCCGGAGGGAAACCGAGUCUUAAUUGGGCGUUAAGUUGCAGGGUAUAGACCCGAAACCCGGUGAUCUAGCCAUGGGCAGGUUGAAGGUUGGGUAACACUAACUGGAGGACCGAACCGACUAAUGUUGAAAAAUUAGCGGAUGACCUGUGGCUGGGGGUGAAAGGCCAAUCAAACCGGGAGAUAGCUGGUUCUCCCCGAAAGCUAUUUAGGUAGCGCCUCGUGAAUUCAUCUCCGGGGGUAGAGCACUGUUUCGGCUAGGGGGCCAUCCCGGCUUACCAACCCGAUGCAAACUGCGAAUACCGGAGAAUGUUAUCACGGGAGACACACGGCGGGUGCUAACGUCCGUCGUGAAGAGGGAAACAACCCAGACCGCCAGCUAAGGUCCCAAAGUCAUGGUUAAGUGGGAAACGAUGUGGGAAGGCCCAGACAGCCAGGAUGUUGGCUUAGAAGCAGCCAUCAUUUAAAGAAAGCGUAAUAGCUCACUGGUCGAGUCGGCCUGCGCGGAAGAUGUAACGGGGCUAAACCAUGCACCGAAGCUGCGGCAGCGACACUGUGUGUUGUUGGGUAGGGGAGCGUUCUGUAAGCCUGUGAAGGUGUGUCGUGAGGCAUGCUGGAGGUAUCAGAAGUGCGAAUGCUGACAUAAGUAACGAUAAAGCGGGUGAAAAGCCCGCUCGCCGGAAGACCAAGGGUUCCUGUCCAACGUUAAUCGGGGCAGGGUGAGUCGACCCCUAAGGCGAGGCCGAAAGGCGUAGUCGAUGGGAAACGGGUUAAUAUUCCCGUACUUGGUGUUACUGCGAAGGGGGGACGGAGAAGGCUAUGUUGGCCGGGCGACGGUUGUCCCGGUUUAAGCGUGUAGGUGUGUGUUCCAGGUAAAUCCGGUUCACUUUAACACUGAGGCGUGACGACGAGGCACUACGGUGCUGAAGCAACAAAUGCCCUGCUUCCAGGAAAAGCCUCUAAGCAUCAGGUAACAUCAAAUCGUACCCCAAACCGACACAGGUGGUCAGGUAGAGAAUACCAAGGCGCUUGAGAGAACUCGGGUGAAGGAACUAGGCAAAAUGGUGCCGUAACUUCGGGAGAAGGCACGCUGACACGUAGGUGAAGUGAUUUACUCAUGGAGCUGAAGUCAGUCGAAGAUACCAGCUGGCUGCAACUGUUUAUUAAAAACACAGCACUGUGCAAACACGAAAGUGGACGUAUACGGUGUGACGCCUGCCCGGUGCCGGAAGGUUAAUUGAUGGGGUCAGCGCAAGCGAAGCUCCUGAUCGAAGCCCCGGUAAACGGCGGCCGUAACUAUAACGGUCCUAAGGUAGCGAAAUUCCUUGUCGGGUAAGUUCCGACCUGCACGAAUGGCGUAAUGAUGGCCAGGCUGUCUCCACCCGAGACUCAGUGAAAUUGAACUCGCUGUGAAGAUGCAGUGUACCCGCGGCAAGACGGAAAGACCCCGUGAACCUUUACUAUAGCUUGACACUGAACAUUGAGCCUUGAUGUGUAGGAUAGGUGGGAGGCUUUGAAGUGUGGACGCCAGUCUGCAUGGAGCCGACCUUGAAAUACCACCCUUUAAUGUUUGAUGUUCUAACGUGGACCCGUUACCCGGGUUGCGGACAGUGUCUGGUGGGUAGUUUGACUGGGGCGGUCUCCUCCUAAAGAGUAACGGAGGAGCACGAAGGUUGGCUAAUCCUGGUCGGACAUCAGGAGGUUAGUGCAAUGGCAUAAGCCAGCUUGACUGCGAGCGUGACGGCGCGAGCAGGUGCGAAAGCAGGUCAUAGUGAUCCGGUGGUUCUGAAUGGAAGGGCCAUCGCUCAACGGAUAAAAGGUACUCCGGGGAUAACAGGCUGAUACCGCCCAAGAGUUCAUAUCGACGGCGGUGUUUGGCACCUCGAUGUCGGCUCAUCACAUCCUGGGGCUGAAGUAGGUCCCAAGGGUAUGGCUGUUCGCCAUUUAAAGUGGUACGCGAGCUGGGUUUAGAACGUCGUGAGACAGUUCGGUCCCUAUCUGCCGUGGGCGCUGGAGAACUGAGGGGGGCUGCUCCUAGUACGAGAGGACCGGAGUGGACGCAUCACUGGUGUUCGGGUUGUCAUGCCAAUGGCACUGCCCGGUAGCUAAAUGCGGAAGAGAUAAGUGCUGAAAGCAUCUAAGCACGAAACUUGCCCCGAGAUGAGUUCUCCCUGAGACUUAGAGUCUCCUGAAGGAACGUUGAAGACGACGACGUUGAUAGGCCGGGUGUGUAAGCGCAGCGAUGCGUUGAGCUAACCGGUACUAAUGAACCGUGAGGCUUAACCUUACAACGCCGAAG
rnacentral:rRNA from 1 species